GUGCAAAGAAACAGAUUGUAAGACUGAGGGUCACAUCUGGUCAGAAUAUAAAUGAUCCUGCAGUGAUGACUGUUAUCUUACAGAAGAUAAAACAGAAGCUGAAGGAAUGGGGUAUAGAAAAGGAAACAAAAGUGACAUGGAGAGUUCAGCCAAAUGGAUAUGCGUUUUCACAAGUUACACAUUUUUAAGUUUCUACGGCAGCAGUGGUGGUCCUGGUUCACUUUCACUCCAGCUGUGUGCUCAGAAGUGUCAACCCUGUGGCAGGAUGGUUGAUAUAUUGUAAACUCUGUCAAAAACCUUAAAACAAUUAAAUUCAGUUUUUAUUUUAAUGAUUUAAUUUAAGGUUUAUUUUAGCACAGAUAUGAUUUUAGUUUGUAGGGGAU